rnacentral:rRNA from 1 species
GGACCAGACUCCUACGGGAGGCAGCAGUAGGGAAUAUUGCUCAAUGGGGGAAACCCUGAAGCAGCAACGCCGCGUGGAGGAUGAAGGUUUUAGGAUUGUAAACUCCUUUUGUUAGAGAAGAUUAUGACGGUAUCUAACGAAUAAGCACCGGCUAACUCCGUGCCAGCAGCCGCGGUAAUACGGAGGGUGCAAGCGUUGUCCGGAAUCAUUGGGCGUAAAGAGUUCGUAGGCGGUAUGUUAAGUCUGGUGUUAAAUGCAGAAGCUCAACUUCUGUUCGGCACUGGAUACUGGCAAACUAGAAUGCGGUAGAGGUAAAGGGAAUUCCUGGUGUAGCGGUGAAAUGCUUAGAUAUCAGGAGGAACAUCGGUGGCGUAAGCGCUUUACUGGGCCGUAAUUGACGCUGAGGAACGAAAGCCAGGGUAGCAAAUGGGAUUAGAUACCCUGGUA